rnacentral:rRNA from 1 species
GGAUGCGAUCAUACCAGCACUAAAGCACCGGAUCCCAUCAAAACUCCGAAGUUAAGCGUGCUUGGGCGAUAGUAGUACUAGGAUGGGUGACCUCCUGGGAAGUCCUCGUGUUGCAUUCC